rnacentral:rRNA from 1 species
CACGUAGGGCGCAAGCGUUGUCCGGAAUUAUUGGGCGUAAAGAGCUCGUAGGCGGUCUGUUGCGUCUGCUGUGAAAACCCGGGGCUUAACCCCUGGCUUGCAGUGGAUACGGACAGACUAGAGGUAGGUAGGGGAGAAUGGAAUUCCCGGUGUAGCGGUGAAAUGCGUAGAUAUCGGAAGGAACACCAGUGGCGAAAGCGGCUUCCUGGUCCAGCACCGACGUUCAGGCACGAAAGCGUGGGGAGCAAACAGG